rnacentral:rRNA from 1 species
GACGGAGGAUGCAAGUGUUAUCCGGAAUCACUGGGCGUAAAGCGUCUGUAGGUGGUUCAAUAAGUCAACUGUUAAAUCUUGAGGCUCAACUUCAAAAUCGCAGUCGAAACUAUUGGACUCGAGUAUAGUAGGGGUAAAGGGAAUUUCCAGUGGAGCGGUGAAAUGCGUAGAGAUUGAAAGAACACCAAUGGCGAAAGCACUUUACUGGGCUAUUACUGACACUGAGAGACGAAAGCUAGGGUAGCAAAUGGG